GAGCCGUGUGGUGAGCACAAGUCGAACUAUUCUUUCGCCUUUUACUAAAGAAUACCGUGUGCUCGCUACUUAUUUUGCGGCAUACAUUUAUUUUUGGAGGGAUUGAAUUAUAAAUCCC